rnacentral:rRNA from 1 species
UGUCGUCAGCUCGUGUUGUGAAAUGUUGGGUUAAGUCCCGCAACGAGCGCAACCCUUAUCCUUUGUUGCCAGCGGUCCGGCCGGGAACUCAAAGGAGACUGCCAGUGAUAAACUGGAGGAAGGUGGGGAUGACGUCAAGUCAUCAUGGCCCUUACGACCAGGGCUACACACGUGCUACAAUGGCGCAUACAAAGAGAAGCGACCUCGCGAGAGCAAGCGGACCUCAUAAAGUGCGUCGUAGUCCGGAUUGGAGUCUGCAACUCGACUCCAUGAAGUCGGAAUCGCUAGUAAUCGUGGAUCAGAAUGCCACGGUGAAUACGUUCCCGGGCCUUGUACACACCGCCCGUCACACCAUGGGAGUGGGUUG